UGAGGAAUAUUGCACAAUGGGCGCAAGCCUGAUGCAGCAACGCCGCGUGGAUGAUGAAGGCCUUCGGGUUGUAAAAUCCUUUUUCUGGGGAAAGAUAAUGACGGUACCCCAGGAAUAAGUUCCGGCUAACUACGUGCCAGCAGCCGCGGUAAAACGUAGGGGACGAGCGUUAUCCGGAUUUACUGGGCGUAAAGCGCAUGUAGGUGGCUUGAAAAGUUGGACGUGAAAGCUCCUGGCUUAACUGGGAGAGGUCGUACAAAACUAGCAAGCUUGAGGUUGGAAGAGGAGAGCAGAAUUCCCGGUGUAGUGGUGGAAUGCGUAGAUAUCGGGAGGAAUACCAGUGGCGAAAGCGGCUCUCUGGUUCAAUACUGACACUGAGAUGCGAAAGCGUGGGGAGCGAA
rnacentral:rRNA from 1 species